GCGACGAUGUCUAGGGGGUCUGAGAGGAUGAUCCCCCACACUGGUACUGAGACACGGACCAGACUCCUACGGGAGGCAGCAGUGAGGAAUAUUGCGCAAUGGAGGAAACUCUGACGCAGCCAUCCCGCGUGCAGGAUUGACGGCCCUAUGGGUUGUAAACUGCUUUUCUAUACCAAGAAACACCGAUACGUGUAUCGGUUUGCCGGUAGUAUAGGAAUAAGCAUCGGCUAACUCCGUGCCAGCAGCCGCGGUAAUACGGAGGAUGCAAGCGUUAUCCGGAAUCACUGGGUUUAAAGGGUGCGCAGGCGGAAUAGUAAGUCAGAGGUGAAAGCCCACAGCUCAACUGUGGAAUUGCCUUUGAUACUGUUAUUCUUGAGUGUAGUUGAAGUAGGCGGAAUAUAGCAUGUAGCGGUGAAAUGCAUAGAUAUGCUAUAGAACACCAAUUGCGAAGGCAGCUUGCUAAACUAUAACUGACGCUGAGGCACGAAAGCGUGGGGAGCGAACAGGAUUAGAUACCCUGGUAGUCCACGCCGUAAACUAUGAACACUCGCUGUUGGCAAUACACAGUCAGCGGCUGAGCGAAAGCGUUAAGUGUUCCACCUGGGAAGUACGAUCACAAGGUUGAAACUCAAAGGAAUUGACGGGGGCCCGCACAAGCGGAGGAGCAUGUGGUUUAAUUCGAUGAUACGCGAGGAACCUUACCUGGGCUUAAAUGUAUAUUGACGUACUGAGAAAUCAGUAUUUCUUCGGACAAUUUACAAGGUGCUGCAUGGUUGUCGUCAGCUCGUGCCGUGAGGUGUCGGGUUAAGUCCCAUAACGAGCGCAACCCCUACUUCUAGUUACCAGCAUUUCGGAUGGGGACUCUAGAGGAACUGCCUACGCAAGUAGAGAGGAAGGUGGGGAUGACGUCAAAUCAGCACGGCCCUUAUGUCCAGGGCUACACACGUGCUACAAUGGCCGGUACAGAGGGCAGCUACAUAGCAAUAUGAUGCUAAUCUCAAAAGCCGGUCUCAGUCCGGAUUGGAGUCUGCAACUCGACUCCAUGAAGCUGGAUUCGCUAGUAAUCGCACAUCAGCAAUGGUGCGGUGAUACGUUCCCGGGCAUUGUACACACCGCCCGUCAAGCCAUGGAAGUUGGGGGUACCUGAAGUCGAUUGCCG
rnacentral:rRNA from 1 species